rnacentral:rRNA from 1 species
GGAUUAGAUACCCUGGUAGUCCACGCAGUAAACGGUGAUCACUAGGUGUAGCGGGUAUUGACCCCUGCUGUGCCGGAGCUAACGCAUUAAGUGAUCCGCCUGGGGAGUACGAUCGCAAGAUUAAAACUCAAAGGAAUUGACGGGGGCCCGCACAAGCGGUGGAGCAUGUGGUUUAAUUCGACGCAACGCGAAGAACCUUACCUGGGUUUGACAUCUCGGGGAUGUUUUUGAAAAAAGACAGUGCCCUUCGGGGAGCCCGAUGACAGGUGCUGCAUGGCUGUCGUCAGCUCGUGCCG